AUUGAACGCUGGCGGCAGGCCUAACACAUGCAAGUCGAACGAGUGGCGGACGGGUGAGUAAUGUCUGGGAAACUGCCUGAUGGCGGGGGAUAACUACUGGAAACGGUAGCUAAUACCGCAUACCAUUGGAUGUGCCCAUCUGGGAUUAGCUAGUUGGUGGGGUAACGGCUCACCUAGGCCACGAUCCCUAGCUGGUCUGAGAGGAUGACCAGCCACACUGGAACUGAGACACGGUCCAGACUCCUACGGGAGGCAGCAGUGGGGAAUAUUGCACAAUGGGCGCAAGCCUGAUGAAGCCAUACCGCGUGUAUGAAGAAGGCCGUCGGGUUGUAAAGUACUUUCAGCGGGGAGGCGUUACCCGCAGAAGAAGCACCGGCUAACUCCGUGCCAGCAGCCGCGGUAAUAC
rnacentral:rRNA from 1 species